UACGCAGGGGGCUAGCGUUGCUCGGAAUCACUGGGCGUAAAGCGCACGUAGGCGGCUUUCUAAGUCAGGGGUGAAAUCCUGGAGCUCAACUCCAGAACUGCCUUUGAUACUGGAGAGCUAGAGUCCGGAAGAGGUGAGUGGAACUGCGAGUGUAGAGGUGAAAUUCGUAGAUAUUCGCAAGAACACCAGUGGCGAAGGCGGCUCACUGGUCCGGUACUGACGCUGAGGUGCGAAAGCGUGGGGAGCAAACAGG
rnacentral:rRNA from 1 species